rnacentral:lncRNA from 1 species
GUGGUCUCUUUUAAAAUUAAAAAGUCGGUGAGAUCAACAUGCUACAACCAACCAGCAAAGAGGGUUGCCUACUAUGAAUAAAAAAUCUAUGGAAAAUAUUUUUAUAUUUGGUAUAAUGCUGUUUUUGGGGUUUGGUUUUUUUUUUUGUCGUCUCUCUCUCUCUUUCUCUCUUGUCCUGGUUUUGUUUAUAUGUAUUUUUAUUGGACUUUUAAAAAUCAUUUUCAACGACAAGGCAUGCAGCAUCAAAAUUAUUGUUUGAAAGUUAUUCUCUCUGUCAUUAAUCUGCAUGAAAUAUUACCACUGAACGUUCAGAAAACAACAAGCAAUCAAUCAUAAAGCUAGGUUCACACUGCCGAUCAGAUCAACUCGAUCAAGCCCGAUCAAGACAAAUUACGUGAUCGGGAGACUGGUCUGACUCAACC